UACAGAGGGCCCAAGCGUUGUUCGGAUUCACUGGGCGUAAAGGGUGCGUAGGCGGUCGGGUAAGUCUGAUGUGAAAUCUCCGGGCUCAACCCGGAAAUGGCAUUGGAUACUAUUCGGCUCGAGGUCUGGAGGGGGGACUGGAAUACUUGGUGUAGCAGUGAAAUGCGUAGAUAUCAGGAGGAAUACCGAUGGCGAAGGCAGGUCUCUGGGCUGACACUGACGCUCAUGCACGAAAGCGUGGGGAGCAAACAGG
rnacentral:rRNA from 1 species